AAAUGUUACUACGAAAACCAAAGAAUAGACAUUUGAACUAGUUCAACUAAUUAAAUUAAAAAUUAUCACGGAAACAAAUACAUACAUGUUUUUAAUCUAAUCCAAUAAGUUGAACCAAGUUAAACUAGUUGAAUUGUUCAUAUAAAUCCGAGAAAUAUAAAUUCAAAACACACAAAUUAAUUUUUGAAUAAUUCACUCUAAUGCCCUUUUCUCAAUGCCCUUUUGCAACUCUACCCUUUUUUGCCAUUUUCAUUUCUACCCUUUCUAAUACUUUUCUCCCCAAAUUACCCUUAAUGAGCUACCCACAGACCUAAUUCAUUUCUUCACUCUCUCUCUUCUUCUUCCAUCGGAAAUUGUGAAUGUCGUUGAAUCCCAUGCCGUCGGAAAUAGUGAGUUUACUCGCCGUGAAAACCCAUCUUCGCCGUCGUAAGUAGAGCUGUGUGUCGCCGUCGAAUCUCUUACGUUUCCCAGGUUUGAUUUUAUAAUGUUAGCUUAAAUCUUCGUUUUCGAAUUGGUUUAUUCGAUUUUUGUUGUUGAUUAUGUGAAUUCGUUAUUUGAAUCCUGAUUCAAUCGACAGUUUGACAUUUGCUUCAGCUUCGAAUUUGAAUUUUGUUUGAGAUUUGAUGAUUGAAUUUGUUUCUAAAAUCCUUGUACAUUCGUUAUACUGUUCUAAAAUCCUUUUGAAUUCGUUAUACUGUUUCGUGAUAGAUUUGCUUAUGUGAAUUCGUUAUACUAUUUCGUAAUAGAUUUUGAUUCUGAUUUAGUGUUUACCUCUUUUGCAUAUGCUUUCGUGAUAGAUCUAUGCCACUUACGCUUUAAAACGAUUUGUAAACCAUGUUAACCACUUUUCAAAGCUUUUAAAAUCCCUUGUAAAUUAUUCUAUGCUACUUACUUACGCUUUAAAACGAUUUGUAAACCAUGUUAACCACUUUUCAAAGCUUUUAAAAUCCCUUGUAAAUUAUUCUAUGCUACUUACUUACUCUUUAAAACGAUUUGUAAACCAUGUUAACCACUUUUCAAAGCUUUUAAAAUCCCUUGUAAAUUAUUCUAUGCUACUUACUUACUCUUUAAAACGAUUUGUAAACCUUUCUUCUCUUUGUAGUGACAGUGUUUUUGUGGCUGUUGAUUUUGUUGUUAUUUAUCUUAUCAGGUUAUAAUGCUAGAAUUGUAUUCUGUUUGUGCCUUGUGGAAGUUGACAAACAAUAUGACUUGGGAAUUUGAAUUAGACAUUGAAUUAGGAGCUUCUUUAGUGCUCAUUGAUGAGCACAUUACCUAUCACGCGUUGGUUGAUAUUCUUGUAGAGGAUUUUCAAAUAGAUAGUUCAACCAAUUCUUUGAAGCUUAGUUACAAGUUAGUCUCCACGUCUACAACCAUACAAUCUCAUCCUCUUUAUAUUAGGAACGAUAGACUGCUUGCAACUUUUAUGCACAAAUUCUCACAGAGUGGAGGAUUGCUUCAGUUAUGUUUGACUGUAGAGCAAAUUUCUGUGACAGUUGAGCAGGUUUUUCAAUAACCUUCUUGUGUUAUAAUUUUAAAAAUCCUUGUAAAAUCAUUAUUAAGUCAGUGAUUGUGCUUAUUACAGGCUGAGCCUACUUCAAAUCCUUUUGUUUCUCAUUCUAUCCCUAAUGCUCAGGUACUAAUCGUUUUAAAAAUCCUUGUAAAAUCAUUAUUAACGUUUUUAAACCCCUUUUAAAAAUCCUUGUAAAAUCAUUAUUAACGUUUUUAAACCCCUUUUAAAAAUCCUUGUAAAAUCAUUAUUAAGUCAGUGAUUGAGUUUAUUACAGGCUGAGACGACUUCAUAUCCUUUUGCUUCUCAUUCUGCAUCUACUACUCAGGUAAUAAUCCUUUUAAAAAAUCUUGUAAAAUCAUUAUUAACGUUUUUAAACCCCUUUUAAAAAUCCUUGUAAAAUCAUUAUUUAAGAAAGAUUGAUGUUUGAGGUAAGCUUUUUAUUUUGGCAGCCGAGGUUAACCUCUAGGAUUAUUGAGGCGUGUGUAUCUGAAACAUCUAGUAUUCUUGAUCAACAGUAUUCUAGUUCUGCGUUUUCAACUGGUCUAAGUGAUGCUGAUUCUUUGUUUAUUGGAA
rnacentral:sRNA from 1 species